CAAAGGAAGCGAUUCCGGCGGGGGAUGGGCAUGCGGCGCAUUAGCUAGUCGGCGGGGUAACGGCCCACCGAGGCGACGAUGCGUAGGGGUUCUGAGAGGAAGGUCCCCCACACUGGUACUGAGACACGGACCAGACUCCUACGGGAGGCAGCAGUGAGGAAUAUUGGUCAAUGGGCGGGAGCCUGAACCAGCCAAGUCGCGUGAGGGAAGACGGUCCUAUGGAUUGUAAACCUCUUUUGCCGGGGAGCAACGGGGUCCUUGCGAGGGCCUAAUGAGAGUACCCGGAGAAAAAGCAUCGGCUAACUCCGUGCCAGCAGCCGCGGUAAUACGGAGGAUGCGAGCGUUAUCCGGAUUUAUUGGGUUUAAAGGGUGCGUAGGCGGGCUGUUAAGUCAGCGGUCAAAUGUCGGGGCUCAACCCCGGCCUGCCGUUGAAACUGGUGGCCUCGAGUGGGCGAGAAGUAUGCGGAAUGCGUGGUGUAGCGGUGAAAUGCAUAGAUAUCACGCAGAACUCCGAUUGCGAAGGCAGCAUACCGGCGCCCGACUGACGCUGAGGCACGAAAGCGUGGGUAUCGAACAGGAUUAGAUACCCUGGUAGUCCACGCAGU
rnacentral:rRNA from 1 species